rnacentral:rRNA from 1 species
CGGACGGGUGAGUAAUGUCUGGGAAACUGCCUGAUGGAGGGGGAUAACUACUGGAAACGGUAGCUAAUACCGCAUAACGUCGCAAGACCGAAAGAGGGGGACCUUCGGGCCUCUUGCCAUCGGAUGUGCCCAGAUGGGAUUAGCUAGUAGGUGGGGUAAAGGCUCACCUAGGCGACGAUCCCUAGCUGGUCUGAGAGGAUGACCAGCCACACUGGAACUGAGACACGGUCCAG